GGGGAAUCUUGCGCAAUGGGCGAAAGCCUGACGCAGCAACGCCGCGUGGGGGAUGAAGGCCUUCGGGUUGUAAACCUCUUUCACCAUCGACGAAGCCUUUCGGGGUGACGGUAGGUGGGGAAGAAGCACCGGCUAACUACGUGCCAGCAGCCGCGGUAAUACGUAGGGUGCGAGCGUUGUCCGGAUUUAUUGGGCGUAAAGAGCUCGUAGGCGGUUUGUCGCGUCGGCCGUGAAAACCUACAGCUUAACUGUGGGCUUGCGGUCGAUACGGGCAGACUUGAGUUCGGCAGGGGAGACUGGAAUUCCUGGUGUAGCGGUGAAAUGCGCAGAUAUCAGGAGGAACACCGGUGGCGAAGGCGGGUCUCUGGGCCGAUACUGACGCUGAGGAGCGAAAGCGUGGGGAGCGAAC
rnacentral:rRNA from 1 species